AAACUCUUCUGACCCUUUCAGCAGUACAUACUUGGAGGAAGUCAUUAUGAGAAUAUUAUGACUCUGUUUUGGAGUUCCUGCUCAUAUUAGACCUGAUAUUUCCACCUGUUUCUGCAGACACUGUUUAACAGAAAACAAAUAAUAAAAUGCAGCUUAUAUCAGCCAAAAUAAAUAUUGCAUACUCAGCCAUAUUCAAAAUACUCUGACAAGAUGUGCUUAUCAUGGAGAGGAAUAGUUGAAACCAAUCAGCAUGCCAAUGCUUGUUCAUAAUAAGCGAAAAAGAAACUAUGUGUUUUUGUAUAUUUAUAUAUUUGUAUAGCAUAUAAAGGUGUGUUGUAUUUAAGAUCUUAAACAAUAGAAAUGGUUCAUUAUUAUGAUGGGAGUUGCUUGGGGAUUUUUGCCCCCUGUAAUGAUAGCGUCUGCAUAUGCCACUGAAGCACAGAGUCUAGCAGUCGGUGUGUGAGCUCUUUACUAACUAAUGGGUUAAUGGUGCAGGUAAAGGUAAUGAUUUUAAAUUAUAUUUUUAUAUUGUUAUUAUUUUUUGUUGCUUUUUUUAGGGUGCCCUUAAGGUGUUCAGAAAGCAGUUCAAAUUUAAUGAAAGAUGGUUAUUUAAGAUGUCGGGUAAAGCAAUGAGAAAGAGGGGGCUGAAAAAGAAAAAGUGCAGUUUAAAAGAACGUCCAGAAAAUAUAAUAAUUGUUGGCAGUUAAUUGAGGCGUAGUUAGAAUAAUGUAUUACAUACCACGCUGAAAUCAGUUUGUCAGGUUUGAUAGAUUCUACUAAGACUGUUAAAUCCCUUUCCAUGUAAUUCCGGAAGAUUUGCUGUUGAGUAAGAACAUGAAACAUGUAUCUAGUUUAAGGAAAUACGAGGACAAAAAACUUUAAUGCCAUAAUUAUCAUCUUUACUGUGAUUACAUUUCAUUUAUUACAGCCAUACAUAUAUUACAUGGGCAUUUUACUCCUAUGUGUUCAUUAAUCAGAUUAAUGUUAAAUUGCCAAUUGGUUGGAGUGAGCAAAGGUUCUUCUGGCACUCAAAAACAAAAAAAUGCUCUGCCUCUGGAUGUCUACUGUAACACGUUUACACAAAUAAUUUUUCUAGGAAAAAAAACAAAACAUUUAUACCCACAAACCACCACUGAUGAAAAGAGAUGCCAGAAGGACUUUGUGAGUGUCACAGGCUUGGUUAUCUGUUAAAUUGAUUUCACUGUUGUUUUACUGAAAGUUUACUUUCAGUCCUUUAAUCUGGGGUCUUUAUUGGCGCUUUAUGGCAUCAGAUGUGUGCCAUUUCAUCCAUUUUUUUUAAAGAAAAUUGGAUAAAUUAUUGGUCCCUUAAAGGGAUGGGAAAAAUGAAAUUAUCGUCAUUACUCUUAAAACUGCAUGACUUUUUCUUCUGUAGAACAUAACAGAAUAUAUUUUGAGGAAUGUCUCAGUUUUGAGGACGAUUGGCUUCCAUUGUGUGGACCAAAAAAAAAAAAACUACCCAACAUUCUUCAAAAUAUCUUUUGUUUUCCACAGAAGAAAUUUAGUCAUAAGCCAGGUUUGGAACAGCAUGAGGGUGAGUAAAUGAUGACAGAAUUUACUGGUUGAACUGUCCCUUUAACUUAUAGGAUUGACUUCCUAGUAGUGAAGGAAGGUUGUUCAAGUGAUCCAGUGCUAAAUUCAAUACAACACAGAUGUGCAAGUAUGGUAUUUGCUAAAUUUGCCAGAGCUUAGUUUGACUUCCUAGAGCAAGCUGAGGCAGAUAUACAGCCUGCUUCAAAUGUUCCCCUAUUUUCCUGUCUUCUAUUGCCAUUUCGCAAUCCAGCCAAAACUUCCUUUGUUUAAAGAAUAAAUCUAGAGCAGUGUAUGCAGCUGGCUCUUUCAACCCUGUUCUUUGUAAAUGUAUACUGAAUGAAGAAAUGAAUUGACCUGAGAUGAGUUCUGUGUACUCUGUAAGUCUUCAGUUUCAAUAUAACGGCAGACCUCCAUAAAGGUUUAGGCUUAUAUCAGGUGCUGAUACAUUAAUUAUUGCUCAUUCAUAACAUGUACAGGAUCUUAUCGUUGUUUUAUUUUUCAUUCUCAAUUUAGUUACUGCAUGUUUACCUUACAUGGUUGUUGAUACAUUACGCACAACAUUUAGCUUAAACUCACUCUGUUGUACUCUCACAGUGCAGGCAUAGUAAAGGAUUAUGGGAUAUUUGAUAAUUUAGCUUUAUGGUAUCAGCCAACUAACUAUUAUUAAAAUAUAACAAAUAUAAAUAUACCAGUUUACCUGAAUCUUUCUAAAAACUACACAGUUUAUCUAGAGAGAAAGUGGCCAUUUAUUGUUUUGUUUUUUACCCCUUUUUUCUUUUUGUUGUUUGUUAGGUUGCUUUUGGGGGAUUCAUUCAUUUUGUUUUUGAAAAAUAAAGCCUUCACAAACCAUACAUGUUUUGUUUAGAGUAUACUGUUCAUCACUUAUUGUUUGCUUGUUCAGUGUCUGUAUUGUGUGCACAUUUACAUUUCAAUAGGUACACCACCUUUUUGAUUUACAGAAAUUCGGAUUGUCCAUAGAUAAAAAUACAUAGCUAAAAUAAACGUAAUUAAAUUGUAGAAUUCCAGAUGUUUGGGGGUGAAUUAAAGUGUUUAAUAAAAGAGACAAAAUCUUUACAAUAAACUAAAAUUCUAAGACA